rnacentral:rRNA from 1 species
AGACAGCCAGGAUGUUGGCUUAGAAGCAGCCAUCAUUUAAAGAAAGCGUAAUAGUUCACUGGUCGAGUCGGCCUGCGCGGAAGAUGUAACGGGGCUAAACCAUGCACCGAAGCUGCGGCAGCGACACUAUGUGUUGUUGGGUAGGGGAGCGUUCUGUAAGCCUGCGAAGGUGUGCUGUGAGGCAUGCUGGAGGUAUCAGAAGUGCGAAUGCUGACAUAAGUAACGAUAAAGCGGGUGAAAAGCCCGCUCGCCGGAAGACCAAGGGUUCCUGUCCAACGUUAAUCGGGGCAGGGUGAGUCGACCCCUAAGGCGAGGCCGAAAGGCGUAGUCGAUGGGAAACAGGUUAAUAUUCCUGUACUUGGUGUUACUGCGAAGGGGGGACGGAGAAGGCUAUGUUAGCCGGGCGACGGUUGUCCCGGUUUAAGCAUGUAGGCUGAUUAUCCAGGCAAAUCCGGAUAAUCAAGGCUGAGGUGUGAUGACGAGGCACUACGGUGCUGAAGUAACAAAUGCCCUGCUUCCAGGAAAAGCCUCUAAGCAUCAGGUAACAUCAAAUCGUACCCCAAACCGACACAGGUGGUCAGGUAGAGAAUACCAAGGCGCUUGAGAGAACUCGGGUGAAGGAACUAGGCAAAAUGGUGCCGUAACUUCGGGAGAAGGCACGCUGGUGUGUAGGUGAAGCCCCUGCGGGUGGAGCUGAGACCAGUCGAAGAUACCAGCUGGCUGCAACUGUUUAUUAAAAACACAGCACUGUGCAAACACGAAAGUGGACGUAUACGGUGUGACGCCUGCCCGGUGCCGGAAGGUUAAUUGAUGGGGUUAUCCGUAAGGAGAAGCUCUUGAUCGAAGCCCCGGUAAACGGCGGCCGUAACUAUAACGGUCCUAAGGUAGCGAAAUUCCUUGUCGGGUAAGUUCCGACCUGCACGAAUGGCGUAAUGAUGGCCAGGCUGUCUCCACCCGAGACUCAGUGAAAUUGAACUCGCUGUGAAGAUGCAGUGUACCCGCGGCAAGACGGAAAGACCCCGUGAACCUUUACUAUAGCUUGACACUGAACAUUGAGCCUUGAUGUGUAGGAUAGGUGGGAGGCUUUGAAGCGUGGACGCCAGUCUGCGUGGAGCCAACCUUGAAAUACCACCCUUUAAUGUUUGAUGUUCUAACGUUGGCCCCUGACCGGGGUUGCGGACAGUGUCUGGUGGGUAGUUUGACUGGGGCGGUCUCCUCCUAAAGCGUAACGGAGGAGCACGAAGGUUAGCUAAUCCUGGUCGGACAUCAGGAGGUUAGUGCAAUGGCAUAAGCUAGCUUGACUGCGAGCGUGACGGCGCGAGCAGGUGCGAAAGCAGGUCAUAGUGAUCCGGUGGUUCUGAAUGGAAGGGCCAUCGCUCAACGGAUAAAAGGUACUCCGGGGAUAACAGGCUGAUACCGCCCAAGAGUUCAUAUCGACGGCGGUGUUUGGCACCUCGAUGUCGGCUCAUCACAUCCUGGGGCUGAAGUAGGUCCCAAGGGUAUGGCUGUUCGCCAUUUAAAGUGGUACGCGAGCUGGGUUUAGAACGUCGUGAGACAGUUCGGUCCCUAUCUGCCGUGGGCGCUGGAGAAUUGAGGGGGGCUGCUCCUAGUACGAGAGGACCGGAGUGGACGCAUCACUGGUGUUCGGGUUGUCAUGCCAAUGGCACUGCCCGGUAGCUAAAUGCGGAAGAGAUAAGUGCUGAAAGCAUCUAAGCACGAAACUUGCCCCGAGAUGAGUUCUCCCUGAGACUUUAAGUCUCCUGAAGGAACGUUGAAGACGACGACGUUGAUAGGCCGGGUGUGUAAGCGCAGCGAUGCGUUGAGCUAACCGGUACUAAUGAACCGUGAGGCUUAACCUU